GGGGACGGAGAAGGCUAGGUGGGCCUGGCGACGGUUGUCCAGGUUCAAGUGCGUAGGCUUAAGAGUUAGGUAAAUCCGGCUCUUUUUAAGGCUGAGACACGACGUCGAGCAUCUACGGAUGUGAAGUCAUUGAUGCCAUGCUUCCAGGAAAAGCCUCUAAGCUUCAGAUUGUAAGGAAUCGUACCCCAAACCGACACAGGUGGUCGGGUAGAGAAUACCAAGGCGCUUGA
rnacentral:rRNA from 1 species